ensembl:lincRNA Gm15628 predicted gene 15628
ACACCUUUCUGCAGAGACCGAAGGGAGCUGUGCUACGGAUGACUCGAAGGCGAAAUCUGGAACCUGUAUCUGGCGAAGUCGAUAUGACCUCCCCAGAGAGAACCAGUUUCCCUCGCUUCCUCCUGUCCUCAGCAAAACCCCUUCCCUCCUACUUUAGAGACAUAACCGAGAUACCUGGAAUCAGCCCGUCUGUUGAUCUUUGCACAUUUGUUUCUGCGGGGUGGAGGUCACUUGAGAGAAGUCUAUUAUUCUGGCCUCCUGUCUACUUCCUCUGGAGCCCUUUCCCUUCAAGUUUCCUUAUUCCUUUAGCCACAGCCUAUGGACAGCUUGUUUACAAAUCCCAGCCUCCGCCAUAGGAAGCUCUUGAAGCUUUCAAAGCCCCAUCAGGCUAAUGUCUCUGUGCAUUACAUAAGACACCUCUCCCAGAGAACUCUUUCCCCUUUGGAAAUAGACAUAAAUAAGGGAAACACAUGUUCUGAGACGUGCCAAGUGCUUAGGAAUGGCUUUAAGAUCACAAUAGCUCACAGUACAAGAUUACUAAAAC